rnacentral:rRNA from 1 species
UGGUAGAGACGCAGCGUACGGCUCAGUAACAUGUGGCUAACCUACCCUUAGGACGGAGACAACCCCGGGAAACUGGGGCUAAUACCCGGUAGAUUAGGAGGCCUGGAAUGGUUUCUAAUCGAAAAGGCGUUGAAACCAUGCUUUUCGACGUCGCCUAAGGAUGGGGCCGCACCUGAUCAGGUUGUUGGUGGGGUAACGGCUCACCAAGCCUAUAACCGGUACGGGCCGUGAGAGCGGGAGCCCGGAGAUGGGCACUGAGACAAGGGCCCAGGCCCUACGGGGCGCAGCAGUCGCGAAAACUCCGCAAUGCGCGAAAGCGUGACGGGGCUACCCCGAGUGCCGUCCGCUGAGGAUGGCUUUUCCCCGGUGUAAUGAGCCGGGGGAAUAAGGAGAGGGCAAGACUGGUGUCAGCCGCCGCGGUAAUACCAGCUCUCCGAGUGGUAGGGAUGAUUAUUGGGCUUAAAGCGUCCGUAGCCGGCUUAGCAAGUCUCCUGUAUAAUUCAGCGACCUAAUCGUUGAGC